rfam:Triticum aestivum genome assembly, contig: Triticum_aestivum_CS42_TGACv1_scaffold_434728_5DL
UUGAUACUCCCUCCGUCCGGAAAAACUUGUCCCUCAAAUGGAUGUUUUUUUAGAACGAAUGGAUGUAUCUAACACCAAGUUAGUGAUAGAUACAUCCAUAUGAGAGACAAGCUCGGGACAAGCUUUUUCAGACGGAGGGAGUAUAUA